GAGGAAACGGCCUGAACCGACUUGAAAGUUGUGUGAGAGAAAGAAGAAUCCUGCUCUUGAGACCUCAUUGUCUUUCUUGCACAAGAGGUAUUCCUUUUAUUUUUCUUUAUUUCAUUUUUCCAUUUCAUUUGCCUUCAAGGCAUUAUGUAGAGUUCAAAAAGCAUGUGCUGCAUGCCGAUUGAAUGUUUGUGAGUUGGGGAGUGGGAAGCUUUCUGCAGGAAACGUUUAACUUGAAAACAGUAUUGUCAUUUCUUAUACGCGUUAGCUUGGUAUUAUGCUUCUGGUAAACAGUUUUAGAAUUACUUAUGAAGGUACUUGAAUGAAUGCCUUAGCACAUUUUAAAUUAUUUACCAACUUUAAAUAAUAUGUAUGACAGAGAAUAGUGAACAACUAGCAAAUCAAUAGCAAAGCAAGUUAUAAAUUUAGUGUGGCGCACAAAACACAUCAACUCAGAAAUGUAUAAAUGGAAGUUCUAGGCUAGAAACAUGAAGCUCAAAAGCAGAACUAACCAUAUCACCCAAAAGUGAUUAUGAUUGGCACUGGAGCAGAAACCCAAUAGAUCUAAUGGGGAAUAUUAAUUUGUGGAAGUGGUGUUUGUUUUGAGCUAGCGCUAACUCUCCUUUCAUAUAUAAGGCUGUCUUCUAGGUUAGUGCCUUUCAGAAUUAACACACAGUAUUAUGUACUGCUGCUAAUUAUUCCAAGUUGAAUUUGCAAGCAUUCACUUUGGUCUUUUCAUCUCUUCGCAUCUCCUAAGCAGAAUGACAUCCCGCUCUAACAGCGUCUCCCUGAAGUAAAAGCCCCAAGAAGGUCAGAAGAAAAACAAAGCAUGUUAGCCUAAACGAAAAUGAAGAUAGGGAAUUAAGGAAUCGCUUUCUUUAAAAACAACAGCCUUGCAGCUUAAGCUGUAACAGACAUGAAAGAGCAAGAGAACAAGAUGUUCACCUAUGUAUUUACGAAG